CCUACGGGAGGCAGCAGUGGGGAAUAUUGCACAAUGGGGGAAACCCUGAUGCAGCGACGCCGCGUGAGUGAAGAAGUAUUUCGGUAUGUAAAGCUCUUUCAGCAGGGAAGAAAAUGACGGUACCUGACUAAGAAGCCCCGGCUAACUACGUGCCAGCAGCCGCGGUAAUACGUAGGGGGCAAGCGUGAUCCGGAUUUACUGGGUGUAAAGGGAGCGGUGGUGGGAUGGUAAGUCAGGAGUGAAAACCCGGGGCUCAACCCGGCGGAUUGCCUUUGGAACUAGCAGGCUGGAGUGCUGUAGGGGUAGGCGGAAUGCGUGGUGUAGCGGUGAAAUGCGUAGAUAUUAGGAAGAACACCGAUUGCGAAGGCAGCUUACUGGACAGAAACUGACACUGAGGCUCGAAAGCGUGGGGAUCAAACAGGAUUAGAUACCCCUGUAGUC
rnacentral:rRNA from 1 species